CCAAACCCCUAUCACGAUAAUUAGUGAAACUUUCCAUCACCCCACAGAGCUCUCUCAUGUUUCUUCCCAGUUACUUCCUGUUUCCAGCCCCACCCGACCCCCCAACAGAAGGAAGCGUUGUUCUAUUUCUCCCACAUAUUGGUUCCUGUCCUGGAACUUCAUUCCUCUGUUCCAGGCUUAGCAUUGUUUAAAGAGAUGGGUGGAUGGCAUGGUGGCUGAUCUUUAAGAUGGUGACCGUCAGCUCUUUCCCUCCCUGCCUCAAGAACACCUGGUGGCUGUAAGGGAAGCCUGUGGAGUCUAGCCACAAACAGAGGCUGCUUGGAGGUGGCUGCUGAAGAAUCACCUGGCUUUUCCAGAUGAGCACUGGACACGUGAGCAAAGAUACCUUCAAAUGACAAUGAGUCCCAGCUGUGGCUAGACAGCAACCAAACGAGGAACCCCAAGUGAGGACCACCCCACCCCGAACCAUGAACGGUAGUAAUACAUGGUUGUUUUACUCUGCUAAGUUUGGGUUGGGGGGUGGUUUGGUAUACAGUG
rnacentral:lncRNA from 1 species